rnacentral:tRNA from 1 species
AUUUAUAUAGUUUAAUAAAAACAUUACAUUUUCAUUGUAAAAUUAGAGAAGUUUCUUUUAAAUA